GUGAGUCCUGCUGCCAGAGCCUUGAGCCACCUGCAGCAGGUGACUGGGAAGCUGGGUCCCGUGGGCCCCUGUAGUUUGAGGUCAGGUCUGUCCGUCCUCAGGACAACGGGAAAUCACAGAGUAUUUUCAGCCAGGAGGCUCCGCCUUUGGACUUGGCUUCUUCUGCUGAGCACAGUGGAAUGGGCAGCAGAGGGGACCCUGCAGAUGACCAGAGGCUAUUGGGGUGAUCCAGGCAGCAAGCCAGGCCUCCUGGUAAGGAGAAGGAGGCACCCCCCACAGAAUGGCAUGGACAGAGAAAUGUGUUCAAGAAGAACAACCAGCAAGGUAAACAAAUGUGAUUACCACCAGGAAACAGACCACAUGAAAAGAAGCACCGGGAAACUGGAGGAGCUGCCCAGGCAGGCAUUCUGCUCAGCUUCCAAGUUCAUUACCCUCAUUAGCCAAAGUCAGUGGACAAAACACCGGGCUUCCCACAAGGCCCGCGGACGUGGUGCGUUCACAUCUCGGCUCCGAGGGUAAAGUCGCUGAGCUGAUUCUUCUCCUGUUCCCAAUGCAUUUUCCGUUCUUUCUCUUCCCGUAAGGGUGCCGGGUAAUAUAGUCCCCGCACCCUGUGUUCCCGAGCCCCGCUCACCUGGAACUCAUCGAUGACGGGGAACAGCAGUGGCCCAGAGUUUCCCAGUGCAAGGAGUUCCAGAUGUGGACGUGUUAUUUACCCCGAUUUCCUCUUUACACAUUGUUCACAGAGGGAGUCAAACAGAUCGGGACUUCCCCGGAAGAGAGUGAAAUGCUGACCCUCGUGAGAGUGAGAGUGACCCCUCCUGCUGGCCUGCUGGCCUUCCUCCUGCCUUCAGACUCAGACCGAAGCCUCAGCUCUUCCUGGGCCUCUUGGCGCCCAGGCCUGAGGAGCUGGCCUGGAGCGUGACCUUGGGUCUCCAGCUUUUGACCUUGGGACUUGUCAACCUCCGUAGUCACGUGAGUUUACUCCUUAAAACGGCUCAGUCUGUCUGCCUGUCUGCCUGUCUGCCUGUCUGUCUCUCCAUCUCUGAUUCGGUGCUGAGGAGCACUCUCCGGGAGCUCAGGUCAGGUCUGUGCAGGAGGCAGGAAUGACCAGCUCGGCGCCCUUCUCCCUGGAGCAGACGGAGGCGUGCCUGGGGACCCUGUGGUGCAGGUGGCUCUUCUUCCACCCUCUGACUCUCUGUGGUUCUCUUCCUGUCCCUUCUGCCACCUGCCGACUGCCUUGGAGUCUCCCAAGGACACAAGGAGGCAGCCACCCUGAGACUCCGACCAGACUCCUAACGUGAGGCCCGGGAUGCGCAGGUUUGUAACGUUGGCUGAAGUGGCCAACGCCGUCGAGGGAAGGAGGCCGCUGCUGCUCAGGGGCAAGACCUCGUCUGGAGCUGGGCCUCCGAGCUCCGUGCCGUAGAGAGCCGUCCCUGGCUCUGCAGGCCCUGGCCACUCAGCCCAGGAGGCUCCACCACCUCCACUGCCUCCGCCACAUUCAAAGGCGCCCAUCCAUGACACUUCUUUACUGCAGUGAGUGUGUGCUGUGCUGCGGCCAACCAGGGCCUUCUACGUGCGGGGCCAGCACCCUGCCACUCAGCUGUCCCCAGGUCCCUACGACUGAAUUUUUGAAGAGAGUUUUAUUGUUUUGCUUGGGACGCUAUGAUUAAUUUCAAUUUCCAGUCUUGUCUUUUCUUAUUACCAAUAUUUCUUCCAAAUUUCAGUCAUGUCCAGACCCUUCAAAUGUUUACAGCUACAAAACACUGCCCCAAGAAUGUCCCAUCCAGGGGACAACUUUGUCCGGGUAGGAGGACGACAUGACCACAGGUCUCCCCGGAAGGAGACCUGAGUCACCAGGCCAGCGUGGAAGUAGGAGCUACAGGAGACGCUGUCCCAGGGCAGGACGGGACUGUGCGCAGUGAGAAAACUCAACAUCUCCCUCGGCAGUUUCCGAGUGCACUGUGUGUCGCGAGCCGUGGUCACUGUUGAACGCAGGGUCCCCUCCCCUCGUCCUCCCGUCCCAUGGGAGUCGUAUCCUGGGACCAUCCUCAGCCACCGGGCCCCAGCCCCUGUCAACCCCCUGCUCUCCGCUUCUGAGAUCGACAUCUUCAGACCCCACACCUGAGCGAGGUCCCGUGGAGUCCCGACGGGGGCCCGGCUUAUUUCACACGGCACAGCGUCCCCCAGGCUCAGCCGUACUGUCACCCGUGACUGCGUUUCCUUCUUUUUCUUGGGCUGAAUGGUAUUUCUCUGGGUGUGGGUGCCAGAUUUUCUUAUCCACUUAGGUCGAUCCCACAUCUUGGCUACUCAGGACCUGGGAGUGCAGAUACCUCUUUGAGAUACUAACUGAAUUGUGUCCGCAGGAGCAGGAUUGCUGGAUCACACUGCAGUUCUAUUUUUAAUUUGGGGGGAAUCUCCAUACUGUUUUCCAUAAUGGUUGUACUCAUUGGCAUUCCCACUAGAUAAACAUCUUAAUUAAUGUAUUGACUGGGCCGCUUUCACGUAGACCAGACAACAGGGACCUAGACAAGAUGGAAGGCUUCGUUCUCUUUCACACAAAGACCAAAGCAUGCAUUGACGGGGCUGUGUUGGUCAGCUCCCCAUCACUGUGACAAAACACCUGAGAUACGCAACUGAAAAGGAGAAAAGGUCUGUUUUGGCUCAUGGUUUCGGAAGUUCCUGUCCAAGCUGGUGAAGUGCCAUUUUUCUGUGUGACAUUGGAAACCAGGACUCCUGUAUGAUUGAGGGAAGAGUGUGGGCAGGAGCUGGAGGAAGGGAUGUCAUUUGAAACGGUCCCUGUUGAGACUGCUGAUAGGAAACCUGGCAAGACCACCCAUCCAGCUGGUGGAGUUGGGGACCGUGGGGUCACCCCCAUGGCAGUAGCCAGGAGCCCCCAUCAGGGUGCAAAGCGAGCCAGGCGUGGUUUGAGAAGGCAGACGGCUGUGUUUUCCGGUGAAGGUCUGUGAGGGCAGACAGCACAGUCCUCUCCACACGGAUCUAGAAGGUAGAAUGGAAGAAAACGCCCGCGUUUGCCCUUCCAGGCCAAGGGCGCGGGACUGGGGAGAACCGGCGCUCCCCAGAGUCCCUCCUGCACGUCUCAUUAGAGUUUGUGAAUGAAUGUGUGUGUGUGUGUGUGUGUAAAACAAGCGCCACUCGGAAACGUCACCGUCACCGAGAUGAGCAGAUGCCGCUCAGCCCUGUGCAAGGAGGAAGGGCAGGUGGGUCCCCGCGGCGGGGCACGGGAGGCCAUCAGUGAGCUUCAGGGCUGGUGACGGUUCCUGUGCAUGAAGACAGCUCCUCCUCCCAGGGCAUCCCCCUCUGAGUUAACCUGGGAAAGUCUUGUUCAUACUGUGACGUGUGUGGGUCAGAGGGUCCUCGUCACCCAGAGACUUACCCUCUUGUCCUCCAGCCAGGACGGCUCCCUGGCAGCGUGCUCUGCGGCGGCGCGCGCCUCCUUGGCCAUCUCUGGAUGGGGCUCUCGGGGUCGCGGUGGUAGGAGUGGGGUGACCGUCCCCAGGAGGCCAGCCUCCUCCCAGGUUUGGUCCAGUUCCUCAAGGACGCACCGAGGACAGAGAAGGACGCCCUUUUCCCCCGUGAGCGACUCAUCUGCUCCUCCGGAACCAGGUUCUUGAGAAGAGAUCGGGACCAUAGCCACAGCAGAGGCCCUCCCUCUC